UGACUGUAUAUUUUUAAACUGCAGUUUUCUACUGAUAUUUUCUUUCAACUAAUACAGAAAAUCCCUGAGUGUCUUUCACGAU